UACGAAGGGGGCUAGCGUUGCUCGGAAUCACUGGGCGUAAAGCGCACGUAGGCGGCUUUUUAAGUCAGGGGUGAAAUCCUGGAGCUCAACUCCAGAACUGCCUUUGAUACUGAGAAGCUUGAGUCCGGGAGAGGUGAGUGGAACUGCGAGUGUAGAGGUGAAAUUCGUAGAUAUUCGCAAGAACACCAGUUGCGAAGGCGGCUGACUGGACACAUAUUGACGCUGAGGCUCGAAAGCAUGGGGAGCAAACAGG
rnacentral:rRNA from 1 species